rfam:Camelus ferus unplaced genomic scaffold scaffold277, whole genome shotgun sequence.
GAGGGUAUGGCUCAGUGGUAUAGUGCAUGCCUAGCAUGCAUAAGGUCCUGGGUUCAAUCCCUAGUACUUCCA